rnacentral:rRNA from 1 species
UGGGGAAUUUUGGACCAUGGGCGCAAGCCUGAUCCAGCCAUUCCGCGUGCAGGACGAAGGCCUUCGGGUUGUAAACUGCUAUUGUACGGUACGAAAAGCCCUUCUCUAAUACAGAGGGGUCAUGACGGUACCGUAAGAAUAAGCACCGGCUAACAACGUGCCAGCAGCCGCGGUAAUACGUAGGGUGCAAGCGUUAAUCGGAAUUACUGGGCGUAAAGCGUGCGCAGGCGGUGAUGUAAGACAGAUGUGAAAUCCCCGGGCUCAACCUGGGAACUGCAUUUGUGACUGCAUAGCUAGCAUGCGGCAGAGGGGGAUGUGAUUCCGCGUGUAGCAGUGAAGUGCGUAGAUAUGCUGAGGAACACCGAUGGCGAAGGCAAUCCCCUGGGCCUGCACUGACGCUCACGCACGAAAGCGUGGGGAGCAAACC